CUGCCUCCCAGACAGUGGGUUUGGAACUGCAUGCCUCUCUGCAGGAUGACUUGCAGAACCCAGGGGCUGGGAGCCAGGAUCCUGGGAAUUUGGGACUCACCUUGGGGUGACAUCUGUCCCCACAAAACCCCAGCCACCUGACCCCUUCCUGUCCAAGAGCAUUGGUGAUGUUCCUAACUACAUACAAAAGCCUCCUGAAAUUCACUCAGCUUGGCAGUCCUGCCAGGACACCAUUUCCGGAUGGGCACUCACACCCCAGUUCCCUUGGAAUGGUAUGGCGUUCACUACCUGGAGGAACCGACUGUCCCGAGGUCCAUGGGGAGUGGAGAUGUACUAAAGCUGAAUCGCAUGGGACCUUCUUCAGCGCAGCAUCUCUGGUGGCCUUUGCAGGGAGGUGGAGUCUCCAGCCGCUCGCAUCUACCUGGGAGGUUGGAGUCCAUUAUGUCCUCCUGGGGAGGCGGUAAUGACUGUCAUGGAACAGGGAGACCUCAAUUUAAGCGAACAGCUGCUUUUCCUUGACAACAGAAGGGUAAGCGGGCUCGAGUUGGCCCUUAACGAACUGAUCCGUGGA
rnacentral:lncRNA from 1 species